AGGUUUUCAUGGAAACUUCAAGACAACAGAGAACAGAGGAAUCACCAGACCAGCUGCGAAAAAACACAAUACCAGCUGAAAGAAGCAAUCAUACUGUUGGAACAAAACCUCCUUUUCCAAGGAAUAACUUGACAGCCAAUGACGUAUUGCCUUCUGUAAGUAA